GGACGUCCGCGGUGCCCAGGCUGCGCCCCGACCGGUCGUAGUGCACGGCCGCCUUCUUCAGCGUCCCGAACUCCGCAAACAGCUCCUGAGGAGUCAGAGCAGCCGUAAGAGCUCAGCCAUUACAGCCCAACAGCUCCUGGAGAGUCAGAGCAGCCGUAAGAGAUCAGCCAUUACAGCCCAACAGCUCCUGCGGAGUCUGAGCAGCCGUAA